CGGAUGACAGAAAGGGUGCGCGAGCCAAGGGCGCGAAGAGCUAGCGGCUAAGGGCAAAGGGCGGGGUCCAACGGCCAGAGCCCGGCUGACUCGCUUGGGUUUCGAGCCUUCCGUCACCUAGCUCCAGACGUUGGGCACCAAAAGGGCCCCUCCAGGUAGUUCAGGCUCCCGACACCGCGGCCUCCAGGAAGGAACUGGUCUGGCGCCUCGCCGCGUCCCGCAGCCGGGGAAAGUACGAGCCGACAGCAUCCCCGUCCGGCAGUGAGGUUUUGUGAGGCGGAAACAAGAUGCCCCCGCCAGCCCGGAUGCUGCUUUCCACAUCUCUUCCUAGCAGGCAGGUCCUCUUCACGGCCUUUUUGUCAAUUUGGUAAAACAGCACUUUCCCCAGGUUGUACAGGUGGCGGAGCCCCCAUUUGAACCCAGUCCGUCUGAUUCCAGAGUUCCUUAAUUUAGCCACUGGAUUGUGGUGCCUCCUUAUCAGAGACCAACAAUUAUCCGCACAGCAAUACUGGGCACUUCUCUUCUAGUUGAGCUUUGUAGCUGACAGCACAGCUGUCUAUGAGUGAUCUUAUCCCCUCUGGGAGAAGGAGAGGAGCUGCAUUUCAGCAUAACUUCUCGUGGCCAGCGUGUUGACUUCUGAUCAGCCUCAUCUGAGACGACACCGUUUUACACAUACACAAAUGCCCCGAGAUAUCGGGCUUCAGCUUGCUCUAGAAGAACAGAGUGCGGGUUAAGUUUGUUUGACAUAACUGGAAGGACCGAGCCUCUUCCCAUUAGUGGCAAUUAGGGGUCCCGCCCCAUUUCUAGAUAGCUUUUGCGGAGAUAUUGUUUCUUUCAGGAGAAGAAAAUGAAUGGGUUGGUGAUCCAAUACUUCUGUCUCUAAAGAAACCUGGACAGGUGACAAAGGUGCCCCAAGGCAAGAGAGCUGCGUGCUGUGCUCUAAAAGACAGCAGCAAAAGUGCUGAAGUUCAGCUACUUCCUUAGUGGUGUUCAUACUCCACAUCAAAGAGAGUACUCUGUCUAGGCAGACCCCAGAUGUUCUGAAUGAAAGGGAAAAUAGAGAAUCCUCUUAAAAUUCUACGGUGCUGUCCCUUGAGACUGCAACAGAUGUACUCUGACCAUGAGUGCCCCAGCCGCUCAGUGUGACAGUGGGAACAGAAAUAUCCAGGAGUGCAGGUAUGACGCUGUCUCUUUCUACCGUGUCACCUGUGUUUGGACCGUGAGCCUCAGGUGCUCUGACAUUCGCAUUUCCAGUCACAGGUAUGAUGCCAGCCCCUCAGACAGCAGUAGAUGUGCUCUGGCCAGGUGGACGCUCGGUGUCUGCUGGAGGGUGGGAACAGAAGGGUCUCGUGGCACGCAUGCAUUUCUUCUCAGUGGUGCAGCCUUCUCCAAUAGUAACAGGGUUCCGUGAUUAGAUGGGUUCCAGGUGCUCGGACAGGAUGCAGGAAGAGCAGUCCAAACACAGUUAUGGGGUUGGGGUUGGCCCCUCCCAUUGCAAAACACCUACUCCUUCAGGUAGGACCCAGGAGCCCUGACUGCAGAUAGGAACGUAAAGGCCCCCAGGCGGAGCUAUGGAGUCCAACUGACUGCAAUAGACGUACCCUGCUUGGAGGGGUCCCAGGUGAUCUGAACACAAAUGUCUUAUGGCACAUGUACCUCCUCAGUGAUGCUCUCUCCUCCAGUAGUAGUAGGCAUGUCAUGGCUGGGCUGGCUCUAGGUGCCCUCAUUAUAGGUAGGAAGGAAAGCGUUUCCAAGGACAGAUUUGCCGUCUACAGUGCCGGCCUCUCCGAUUGCAACAGGGAUGCAAUAGGCUGACAGCGUCUCCCAACACGAGCCAUGGCGCUGGGUGUCCCACAGGGUCUUGCUCCAAAGCUGAGUGUUCCAGACAAGGAGCUGCAGCCUGGGACAUACACACUGGCCCCAAAGCUGCCACGAUCUCAAAGGGCGCGCAAGCCCCGUAACCCCAAGUGGGUCUGAAGUGCUACUGGCAGAAGGUGAGCUGCAGUUCUCAGUGCUGUGCGCGUCGGCGGCAGCUCCAGAGCAGGACAGAGCGGCCGUGCCAGUGGGGAAAACAACUGAAGUGUCACCAAAAGCUGGCUGGGUGUUGACAGAGAUGUAAAAUUUGGAAUAUGGGAGCGUCGGACUCCCCAGAGCUGACUGCCGUUGGGUUCCAGGGCCGCAGUUCGGGCUAAGGAAGGAGGUCCUGCUGGGGCUGCCAGGAUUCCCAAAGGGAAAGAGCUGUUAAAGCUGUCAAGAAGAGGCCAGAAUCAACAGGCUGGGAAUUGAGGACGUUACCUAUAUUGACUUCAUCAGAGUCCAAGGCAGGCUUGGAGGGUGCGUCUGAAGAGUCCCGGAGUGAGGCUACUGCAGAGGCAGUGGUGGGUGGGCCAGAAAAGACAGGGGCAUUGAAGAGAGUAGCUUCCUAUUGCUGCCCGUAUAGGCUCCCAAACUGCAGCUAAAGGGUGACCCCUGCCCCAAAAGGAAGGGCCGCUGGCCAUCUAAGCAGGUGGGCUGGUGGCAGCUGUGGCCUUUGCAGGGGUUAUUUGCGCCACGCUGAGAGCGGCCUGGUCACGUGGGAGGGAGCUCGCGCUGGAUCCUGGUGGAGACCUGGGGAUGAAAGCCUGGCAAGGCAGAGUGCUGUCUGUGGCCGUCAUACCAAAGUCCAAAGCACCCUCUGAGGUCCAGUCCGCAGAUGGGCUGACUGGGCCAUUGAGGGGGACUGCAGAAGCAGUGAUGAGCUGGCUGGUAAAGACAGGGGACACUAGUGAAAGAGACUUGAAGAGGAGUCUGUAAGGAAAAGGGAAGAGAAUCCACACACAUAGAUGUAGGUGACUCGGUUCUCCAGAGGGCAGGCCUGAAGGAGAAGGUGCUAGGAGGUGGUAAGCGAAGUAGAAGACCCUGCAACUGUGACUGCGGAACUGGAACGCAAAGGGCCUCUAUUCUCAUUAUUAAGCAGAACCCCAAAGAUGGGCCAGAAUCUGUAAAGAGCGACGGUAGGAAUAGCAAAAGGACGGUUAGACCCUCUGCGUCUCAUUUCGUGAUGGAGAUCUGGUGUGGGGGUAGGUAAAAGGGCAGGUAGGAUUGGGGCCAAACAGACAAGCAGGGCAGGUCAGUGACUGCUGAUUUGGUAGUUUCUGGAAUCUGCAAGGGGAAGGUGGCCAAUGGCGAAGUAAGCGCAUUCCCUGUGAGAGCGGGCACGCCGAGGGGAACUGCUGUCUGAGGUGGUCUGAGUUGUAUCCUCCAACCCUGUGGCUGCAUCUUCCUUGCGGUGCUGUGUUUUCUCCAGGCUGAUGUCUUCGGCAAUGACCGUACAAGGAAGGUGGGGGGGCGGAAGCCUCUCACUUCGACCCCACGGCGGUGGCAGUAGCAGCAGCAGUGGCAAAACUCGUGGCGUUGGCAUUUUGUUUCUAGGACCUGCAACCAACCGGUGUGGCUGGGGAAUUUCUCCUUGACAGACUCCCUAAAAGCCUUUCUCUCUUGAGUCUUUUUCUUUGACUUCAUAAGGUUAGAGAGCUGAGUCCGUGGCCUUCAUCAAGUUCGUCCUUCCUCACCCUCUCUGGUAGUAGGGGCAGGAAAUGGCAGGGCUAGACACACCUGCCGCCCCUCUGCCUCACUCCUGCAGACAAGCGGGAGGCCUCCAACAGGGCUGUACCGCCUUUGGGUAAGGAGUUCAUGGAAGGCGUCUGUGGUGUCUUACCCAAGCUACCUUCUUGGAAUAGAAGUUUCCCUUCUGAGGCUCAGGAUGCUCCCAAACGUGCGACAACUUCUUCUGUCGCCAGAGACCUAGAUCUUGAUGGUAUGUGCUCACCCCUAAGGGGGCCCCUUUCUGGAAGUCCCGGCUUUUGCACGCUUUUCUAUGGUCUUCUUUUGAUAUCCCCUUCCUUCACGCCCCUGGUGACUUCAGCUCAGUUUUUUUUUUUUUUCUUAAAGUGAAAAAAAUUUUAAUUCCUUUCUUUCUUCUGAGAGAGGGAGCAUGUGGGCACAGCAGAGAGAGCAAGACAGAGAGAAUCCCCAGCAGGCUCUGAACUGGCAGUGGGGAGCCCGAUGUGGGGCUCAAACUCACAAACUGUGAGAUCAUGACCUGAGCUGAAAUCAAGAGUCGGAUGUUCAACCGAGUGAGCCACCGAGGCGCCCCUUUAGCUCAGUCUCCUUUAAACAAGGCUCUGGAGGGUGACUGGAUGGCCCUGGCCUUACAGAGGUGACUACCUGAUUAGAUGACAAAGGAGGAAGAGAGUCAGUGUGUGUCCAGGAGGAGGGAUCUUUAGCAUUCCCGAGUGGACAGACACUAUGAGGCACACGCAGAGAGCAGCGGCUCCUUCCGAGCGUCCCCCCAGGGCCACCAGAGAGGAGCGCUGAGGCUGCCUGGUCCGAUACCACCCAUUUGGCAAAGGGCCAGACCCAGGCAGAGAUGCCUGGGGCAAGGGCCAAGGAGAGGUGCAGGGUGAUCUCAGCCGGAAUGAGAAGCACAUGUGUGGGAGGGUGGGGGGACAGGGCGAGAGAGAAGCUUGCUGGGGCAGUUGCCCAUGAAGGACGAUUUGUGUGCUGUUGGGAGUGUGGUAUGAAAUGUGGAGGGCUCUCCUGGCUCCGCGCUCCUCCUUGGCAAAACGUGCACCGUUCGGCCUGAGGCUUGUGGCGCAGCACUGGAACCUGGGACAAAAAAGCACACCAGCUAAGCCCACACCCACAAAGGGCAUGAGGAAAAGUUGCCAAAGGCAAAGGGCAGGGCCCAGAGACCGAAGCCCGGCAGGACUUUCUAGCAUUUCCUGACCUCCCACUGCUGGGUGCAGGUUCCAGACGGGCCUGGCAGUUUGGUGAGACUGUUAAAGACUCUAAAUUCCGAGAGCCCACAGGACUGCCACCUCGGUGCCUAACUGGAGGGCAGAGGCAGAGGCAACCUGUGGUUGGGAGUCAGCCGGCCCAUUUCCCUACGGUCACCAGAGGACAGAGCCUGCUCAGGGCCACGGCAGGGGAGCAUCCUAGAUCUUGCCAAGAAGGCUGCGACGUGCCUGAAAGAAAAUGCGUAUGUUAGAUAGAUGAGCUUCAUUCAGUCAUGAGUCAUACUGCUAUUAACUCUGAGUCCAAUGUUAAUGAAUCAACAGUAUAGCACAUCCAAAAGGAGGAAGAAACUCACUGGUCUGUAGAUGAAGCCGCUCAAGAAAGUGUUAAUAGUAACUUGUAUAGUGUGUGGUGAAGCAAUGAGAAAGAUAUGAAAGCAGCUGAAGUUGUGGAUUUGUGAGAUGAAGGAAAAAAAAGGAUAGGAGAGCAUUAUUGUGAGCUGAAAGCCAAAACUGAGAGUCAUGUUACCCAGAUGGGGAAAAUGUUAAAACCCUGAUCCGCCAGUGCUAGUUGGCUUGCACAUUUCAAGAGGCAAUACAUUAUAAACAGUGUUAAGGCAGGUCCUGCAGAUCAGGAAAUGUUACAGGAAAAGCAUUAGGGGGAAGAGUAGGUUUCAAUGCCAACGAGACUGGCUUGUUUUACUAGGCUUUUGGCAAAGGAACGUAUAUAAUGCAAAUGGCCUCCAAAUCACCAGUCUUCAAAUUAUUCAAGUAUUGUGCAAUCUUGCAGUUGUGUGUCAAUACCAACAGCAACCAACUUUAAGUACGAGCCCAUAAAGGUGUAGAGAACUUCAAAUCCACCAGAACUUAAAAGGAAACUCUGGUUCGGGAGUUCGGCAUAUGCCAUACACCAGUCCGCUGCAGGUGGAACAAAAAAAAAUCUGAGAGAUGUCAGAAGCAUUCUGGGAUGCUUCCACAACUGCUCAUCCAAGAAGCUGUAUUUACUGCUAUCUCCAGGGCAAAUACUUUGCCUCCAGGGUCGUGUUAAUUUUGGAGAAUGCCCAUUGGCCCAUUGUUACGAACUCGCAAAUGCCCACCCCAACCUAGAUGUUCUUUUCAUGCCCCUAAACACUGUCAUCCAACCUCUCAAUCAGGACAUGACAUAAAAGCUUUCGUGGUACGCCACAUGAGGGAGCUUUAUACUAAAGCUUACAACACCAACAAAGAAACAUGGUGGUUACCAUGACGGACUAUUGCAGUCGGUCACUAUGCGAACUGUCACUGGUUACUGUGUUGGCACAGUCUGGAGACUGUCCCAACAGCGGCACAGCUUGGACAGCUUGUCCCAACAGCUUGGCACAGUCAAGCAGACUACUUUCAGGAACUUGGGAAAAUGGCAAAACUGCCUGGAAAUUUUCAAAGGCUUUGAAGGUAUUACAUAAAACAUAAAGAACAGUGUCAAGUACAUAAUGCCUAUCACAUGGCAAGUAAGUGGAAAAACUCCCAAUGACGUGAGGGAAGAUGUGGAAGAAAUACUGACAGAGAAGGUGGUAGAACCCACAAAUAAAGACCCAGGAGAGAUAGCCAAACAAGGCACUGAAGUCAGUGAUGAUGAGGAUGGUGAUGAAAAUCACUCUACCACUGAAUGAGUCGCCUUUCUCGCAGCAGCCAUAUAUCAGAAAUUCUACUUUGGAAAGAUGUUCCAUGACAUAAAAGAAUGUGACCCAAUGGUUGAAUGAAGCCUCAUGCAAUUUUUCAAGCCACUUCACAAAAGGAAACUGCUGAUGUCGACAAAUGACAAGAGUCAAAUUCCUGAGGUAGAACUGAUACCCCACACUCACUGUCUUCCUCUUCUGCAGAAUAAAUACCAUCAACUAUGCCAAGGUCAAGAGGUUUCUUCCGAGUGCACUGCUCUAUCACCACAUAUCCAACAACUCUAUCAAAAUUAGUUUUAGUUAAUGUCAAUCUUUGAUUAAUUUUAACUUUUCCGGACUUUCUUCGCAUGACUGUACACUAUAACACAGUGAAUGUGUUCACGUUACUGCUUACUGUGUUUAUUGUGUGUGAAUACUAAAUUAUGUAUACUUUCUGUGUGUAUCACUGAGUUAAAGCAGUAUAGUAACAGACUAAGUUACACAAAAUGAUGUAAUUGAAAUAUUUUUAUUAUAAGGAAAUACUGCAUAUAAUUUAUUUCUAGGGAACAUGUAUUAAAUAAAUGUCUUUUAAACAGAAAAAAAAAAUUCCAUAAUGGGUUACGCAUUGAUUGGUUGAUGAAAAUGUGAACAGAGGCUCACAGGAACCUAGGAGCUAUGGCUCACUAUUCACCAAUUCAGUGUUUGUGAUCAAUGUAUAGAAUACAACUACAAUGAAUAACAAGAAUUGACUCUGUGCGUGUGUGUGUGUGUGUGUAUUUAAGUAUUUCAUGACUCAGGCCUCUACAUCUCUCACAAACAUUUAUGCUCAAGGGUAAAAAUCACAAUGUUUUCGAAUAAAAAAAAAAAAAAAAAAGCUGG